UACGGGGGGGGCAAGCGUUGUUCGGAAUUACUGGGCGUAAAGGGCUCGUAGGCGGCCAACUAAGUCAGACGUGAAAUCCCUCGGCUUAACCGGGGAACUGCGUCUGAUACUGGUUGGCUUGAAUCCGGGAGAGGGAUGUGGAAUUCCAGGUGUAGCGGUGAAAUGCGUAGAUAUCGGGAGGAACACCUAUGGCGAAGGCAGCUCGCUGGGACGUUACUGACGCUGAGACGCGAAAGCGUGGGGAGCAAACAGG
rnacentral:rRNA from 1 species